GCUUCAGGGUGUGCUCUCUUUUUAGCCCAACUGUAGAUCCUUGUCACCCCUCAGUGGAUCCCUUGCUACCCUGCAAUUUCCAGAGUGAAGGUGAAGAAGUGGAGAAGCUGGAUGAAGUGUGCAGGGCUGCAGUGCAGCUGCAGCAAAGGUCACAGGGAGCAGGACCAGACCUGCCCAUUGGAUGGACUCAGGCCAAGGCACCCCAGCUUCAGCACAUUUCUGGUUUUGAAGUUUUUACCAUGGAGUUGUGUGCAUUUGUUCACAGCUGGCGGUAUGCAAGACACACCUGAUGUCAUGGACCAUCGGCCUCAAGACUGUAAGGGAGCAGUGAUCACCUCAGUUUCCAAAUGGCACAGGAUGCUCCAGGGGUUGAUGCAAUUCUGCCAGUGGUACCCAAACAACCAGUGGCAGAGCAGGAUCUCACUAAGUCAAACAGGGUGGCUUCAAAUGUGUGAUCCUCUUGCCCCGGCUUCCCAUUCAUUAGCAUUACAAGUGUGGCCAUUGCACCAGGUUCUAUGGAUGUUUUAACCCAGUGAUCACCCUCAGUGGAAGACUCAUGCACACUGUGGGAUUCCUUCCUGUGGAUGGCAGUACUUCUGUGGGACAGCAGAGACAACUCAGCUUCUCUGUCCUAUCUCUUGGCUUUGUCCCUGUAGAUUGCAGUACUUCUGUGGGACAGGCUGGGGCAGAUCAGCUUCUUCCUCCG